GCCAGGCGUGGUGGUGCAUGCCUGUAAUCCCAGCUACUUGAGAGGCUGAGGCAGGAGAAUCACUUGAACCCAGGAAGUGGAGGUUGCAGUGAGCCGAGAUCACGCCACUGCAUUCCCGCCUGGGUGACAGAGUGAGACUCUGUCUUAA
ensembl:misc_RNA Metazoa_SRP Metazoan signal recognition particle RNA